rnacentral:rRNA from 1 species
CGAACAGGAUUAGAUACCCUGGUAGUCUACGCCGUAAACGAUGGUUACUAGCUGUUCGGCCCGAUUAAGGGCUGAGUGGUUAAGCGAAAGUGAUAAGUAACCCACCUGGGAAGUACGUUCGCAAGAAUGAAACUCAAAGGAAUUGACGGGGGCCCGCACAAGCGGUGGAGCAUGUGGUUUAAUUCGAUGAUACGCGAGGAACCUUACCAGGGCUUAAAUGUAGUCUGACAGGAGUGGAAACACUUUUUUCUUCGGACAGAUUACAAGGUGCUGCAUGGUUGUCGUCAGCUCGUGCCGUGAGGUGUCAGGUUAAGUCCUAUAACGAGCGCAACCCCUGUGGUUAGUUGCCAGCGAGUAAUGUCGGGAACUCUAGCCAGACUGCCGGUGCAAACCGCGAGGAAGGUGGGGAUGACGUCAAAUCAUCACGGCCCUUACGUCCUGGGCCACACACGUGCUACAAUGGUAGGGACAGAGAGCAGCCACUUCGCGAGAAGGAGCGAAUCUACAAACCCUAUCACAGUUCGGAUCGCAGUCUGCAACUCGACUGCGUGAAGCUGGAAUCGCUAGUAAUCGCAUAUCAGCCAUGAUGCGGUGAAUACGUUCCCGGGCCUUGUACACACCGCCCGUCAAGCCAUGGAAGCCGGGGGUACCUGAAGUCGGUCACCGCAAGGAGCCGCCUAGGGUAAAACUGGUAACUGGGGCUAAGUCGUAACAAGGUAGCCGUA